UACGAAGGGGGCUAGCGUUGUUCGGAAUUACUGGGCGUAAAGCGCACGUAGGCGGUUUGUUAAGUCAGCUGUGAAAGCCCCGGGCUCAACCUGGGAACUGCAGUUGAUACUGGCCGACUGGAGUGCGAGAGAGGGAGGUAGAAUUCCAUGUGUAGCGGUGAAAUGCGUAGAUAUAUGGAGGAAUACCGGUGGCGAAGGCGGCCUCCUGGCUCGACACUGACGCUGAGGUGCGAAAGCGUGGGGAUCAAACAGG
rnacentral:rRNA from 1 species